AUACGGAGGAUCCGAGCGUUAUCCGGAUUUAUUGGGUUUAAAGGGAGCGUAGGUGGAUUGUUAAGUCAGUUGUGAAAGUUUGCGGCUCAACCGUAAAAUUGCAGUUGAAACUGGCAGUCUUGAGUACAGUAGAGGCAGGCGGAAUUCGUGGGGUAGGGGGGAAAUGCUUAGAUAUCACGAAGAACUCCGAUUGCGAAGGCAGCCUGCUGGACUGUAACUGACGCUGAUGCUCGAAAGUGUGGGUAUCAAACAGGAUUAGAUACCCUGGUAGUCCACACAGUAAACGAUGAAUACUCGCUGUUUGCGAUAUACAGUAAGCGGCCAAGCGAAAGCGUUAAGUAUUCCACCUGGGGAGUACGCCGGCAACGGUGAAACUCAAAGGAAUUGGCGGGG
rnacentral:rRNA from 1 species